rnacentral:rRNA from 1 species
GACGGAGGGUGCAAGCGUUGUUCGGAAUUACUGGGCGUAAAGGGCGCGUAGGCGGUCUGUUAAGUUCGGUGUGAAAGCCCCCGGCUCACCUGGGGAACUGCGCCGGAAACCGACAGACUCGAGUACCGGAGAGGAGGGUGGAAUUCCUGGUGUAGCGGUGAAAUGCGUAGAUAUCAGGAGGAACACCGGUGGCGAAGGCAGCCUCCUGGGCCAAUACUGACGCUCAUGCACGAAAGCGUGGGGAGCAAACAGG